rnacentral:rRNA from 1 species
CCUACGGGUGGCAGCAGUGGGGAAUAUUGCACAAUGGGGGAAACCCUGAUGCAGCGACGCCGCGUGAGUGAAGAAGUAUUUCGGUAUGUAAAGCUCUAUCAGCAGGGAAGAAAAUGACGGUACCUGACUCAGAAGCCCCGGCUCACUACGUGCCAGCAGCCGCGGUAAUACGUAGGGGGCAAGCGUUAUCCGGAUUUACUGGGUGUAAAGGGGGCGUAGACGGCAGAGCAAGUCUGAAGUGAAAGCCCGGGGCCCAACUGCGGGACUGCUUUGGCAACUGCCCGGCUAGAGUGCUGGAGAGGUAAGCGGAAUUCCUAGUGUAGCGGUGAAAUGCGUAGAUAUUAGGAGGAACACCAGUGGCGAAGGCGGCUUACUGGACAGUAACUGACGUUGAGGCUCGAAAGCGUGGGGAGCAAACAGGAUUAGAUACCCUAGUAGUC